GAUGAACGCUGGCGGCGUGCUUAACACAUGCAAGUCGAACGGAAAGGCUCCUGCUUGCCGAGGUACUCGAGUGGCGAACGGGUGAGUAACACGUGGGUGAUCUGCCCUGCACUUCGGGAUAAGCCUGGGAAACUGGGUCUAAUACCGGAUAGGACGAUGGUUUGGAUGCCAUUGUGGAAAGUUUUUCGGUGUGGGAUGAGCUCGCGGCCUAUCAGCUUGUUGGUGGGGUAAUGGCCUACCAAGGCGUCGACGGGUAGCCGGCCUGAGAGGGUGUACGGCCACAUUGGGACUGAGAUACGGCCCAGACUCCUACGGGAGGCAGCAGUGGGGAAUAUUGCACAAUGGGCGCAAGCCUGAUGCAGCGACGCCGCGUGGGGGAUGACGGCCUUCGGGUUGUAAACUCCUUUCGCUAGGGACGAAGCGCAAGUGACGGUACCUGGAGAAGAAGCACCGGCUAACUACGUG
rnacentral:rRNA from 1 species